AAGGCUGUAGCGCAGAGGUCGUCGCGCCCAAGCAGCGAGCUGGAGGACGUCGGUUCGAAUCCGACCGGUCUUGCCA
rnacentral:tRNA from 2 species